CGGGACACGUGGUAUCCUGUCUGAAUAUGGGGGGACCAUCCUCCAAGGCUAAAUACUCCUGACUGACCGAUAGUGAACCAGUACCGUGAGGGAAAGGCGAAAAGAACCCCGGCGAGGGGAGUGAAAAAGAACCUGAAACCGUGUACGUACAAGCAGUGGGAGCCUCUUUAUGGGGUGACUGCGUACCUUUUGUAUAAUGGGUCAGCGACUUAUAUUCUGUAGCAAGGUUAACCGAAUAGGGGAGCCGAAGGGAAACCGAGUCUUAACUGGGCGUUAAGUUGCAGGGUAUAGACCCGAAACCCGGUGAUCUAGCCAUGGGCAGGUUGAAGGUUGGGUAACACUAACUGGAGGACCGAACCGACUAAUGUUGAAAAAUUAGCGGAUGACUUGUGGCUGGGGGUGAAAGGCCAAUCAAACCGGGAGAUAGCUGGUUCUCCCCGAAAGCUAUUUAGGUAGCGCCUCGUGAAUUCAUCUCCGGGGGUAGAGCACUGUUUCGGCAAGGGGGUCAUCCCGACUUACCAACCCGAUGCAAACUGCGAAUACCGGAGAAUGUUAUCACGGGAGACACACGGCGGGUGCUAACGUCCGUCGUGAAGAGGGAAACAACCCAGACCGCCAGCUAAGGUCCCAAAGUCAUGGUUAAGUGGGAAACGAUGUGGGAAGGCCCAGACAGCCAGGAUGUUGGCUUAGAAGCAGCCAUCAUUUAAAGAAAGCGUAAUAGCUCACUGGUCGAGUCGGCCUGCGCGGAAGAUGUAACGGGGCUAAACCAUGCACCGAAGCUGCGGCAGCGACGCUUAUGCGUUGUUGGGUAGGGGAGCGU
rnacentral:rRNA from 1 species